rnacentral:rRNA from 1 species
GGCUCAGGAUGAACGCUAGCGGCAGGCCUAACACAUGCAAGUCGAGGGGUAGCAGGGUAGCAAUACCGCUGACGACCGGCGCACGGGUGAGUAACACGUAUCCAACCUUCCCAUAACUCAGGGAUAGCCUUUCGAAAGAAAGAUUAAUACCUGAUAGUACUUUUUCAAGGCAUCUUGAGAAAGUUAAAGAUUUAUUGGUUAUGGAUGGGGAUGCGUUCCAUUAGAUAGUUGGUGAGGUAACGGCUCACCAAGUCUUCGAUGGAUAGGGGUUCUGAGAGGAAGGUCCCCCACAUUGGUACUGAGACACGGACCAAACUCCUACGGGAGGCAGCAGUGAGGAAUAUUGGUCAAUGGGCGAGAGCCUGAACCAGCCAAGUAGCGUGAAGGAAUGAAGGUCCUAUGGAUUGUAAACUUCUUUUAUAGUAGAAUAAAGUGAUCCACGUGUGGAUUUUUGUAUGUAUACUAUGAAUAAGGAUCGGCUAACUCCGUGCCAGCCGCCGC